CAAACACAGUUACACGAGGGCUAUACUACUAGCGAGAUGCAAGAAGUCCGCUGUUGGAUAACAAAUCAUGGGGAAACGGAAGACUAGUUUGCUUCAAUAAAGAGAAUGAUAAGUUUGAAAGAUCAGAGAAUAAAAGAGAAAGACCGUACCAAAGUACAGGUGAAAAAAAAGAACGAUCCUUAAGAAAUAAAGGAAAAAGAAGUGCCAAAAUAUGCAUCAUGUCUGUUCUUCCAGUACAACAGUCAGCUUGGUCCCCCUUAUCACAUCCUCGUCGACACCAAUUUUGUCAACUUCUCCAUCAAGGCUAAACUCGACAUAGUUCAGUCAAUGAUGGACUGCCUGUACGCCAAAUGUAUCCCAUGCAUCACAGACUGUGUAAUGGCUGAGAUAGAGAAACUGGGGAUGAAGUAUCGAGUAACUCUAAGGAUAGCCAAGGAUCCUUGGUUCGAACAACUGCCAUGCAACCACAAAGGAACUUACGCUGAUGACUGUUUAGUUUAAAGGGUAACACAGGUUCAACAUUGAAAGAAUGCCUGAUGACUAUGGUGCUCCAAGAUUUUAACAUUCAAUGGAUGGACAUAGAAUUUAAAUUCCAGUUGGACUGUGGCUUCUGUCGAGGAGGAUUUGAUUUGUUUGCCUGCUUAUUGUAUAUUGUCAAAGGACUUGAGUUCAUGCUGUUUUUUUUUUUUAUGAAAAAAGGAAUGACAUAAUAUUUUUUGCAAGCUUAUUCUGGCUGUGUUUUUUUACCAAUCCAAACCUAAUUUUUGUUCCAUAAAAGUGCAAUAAAUUAAUGGGAGAA